rnacentral:rRNA from 1 species
GCUAACGCGUUAAGUCGACCGCCUGGGGAGUACGGCCGCAAGGUUAAAACUCAAAUGAAUUGACGGGGGCCCGCACAAGCGGUGGAGCAUGUGGUUUAAUUCGAUGCAACGCGAAGAACCUUACCUACUCUUGACAUCCAGAGAACUUUCCAGAGAUGGAUUGGUGCCUUCGGGAACUCUGAGACAGGUGCUGCAUGGCUGUCGUCAGCUCGUGUUGUGAAAUGUUGGGUUAAGUCCCGCAACGAGCGCAACCCUUAUCCUUUGUUGCCAGCGGUCCGGCCGGGAACUCAAAGGAGACUGCCAGUGAUAAACUGGAGGAAGGUGGGGAUGACGUCAAGUCAUCAUGGCCCUUACGAGUAGGGCUACACACGUGCUACAAUGGCGCAUACAAAGAGAAGCGACCUCGCGAGAGCAAGCGGACCUCAUAAAGUGCGUCGUAGUCCGGAUUGGAGUCUGCAACUCGACUCCAUGAAGUCGGAAUCGCUAGUAAUCGUAGAUCAGAAUGCUACGGUGAAUACGUUCCCGGGCCUUGUACACACCGCCCGUCACACCAUGGGAGUGGGUUGCAAAAGAAGUAGGUAGCUUAACCUUCGGGAGGGCGCUUACCACUUUGUGAUUCAUGACUGGGGUGAAGUCGUAACAAGGUAACCGUAGGGGAACCUGCGGUUGGAUCACCUCCUU